CACGUAGGGCGCAAGCGUUGUCCGGAAUUAUUGGGCGUAAAGAGCUCGUAGGCGGUCUGUUGCGUCUGCUGUGAAAACCCGGGGCUUAACCCCUGGCUUGCAGUGGAUACGGACAGACUAGAGGUAGGUAGGGGAGAAUGGAAUUCCCGGUGUAGCGGUGAAAUGCGCAGAUAUCAGGAGGAACACCGGUGGCGAAGGCGGGUCUCUGGGCCGAUACUGACGCUGAGGAGCGAAAGCGUGGGGAGCAAACAGG
rnacentral:rRNA from 1 species